AAUUGUAACUAGUUUUUAUUGUAGUUGCAUCUUUGUAAUGAGUUGAUUUGGAUUUUACUACAUAUUGCCUUUCUUGAGUGUGCCUGUCGUUGAUGGUUGUAAAUUCAAGUGUCAUGUUAGCAUUAAAGUUGGAGAGAAAUUUGUUUGGUUCAUGUGUAUUAUUUGAAGGAAUUUCAUUGCUCUGUUAUGUGCCUUGUUGAUUUUGAUCUCUAAAUGAUGCAAACUGUCUUGAGCUAUGGACUAGCUCCGAUGAAGCUUAAUUGUCAUAGUUACACUGAUAGAGGUCAUUUAUGUUUUUUCUUCCAAAGACUUGAUUUAAUUUUGUUCUGAUUGAAAUUGGUUUAUAUCUCUCUGAUUUCUUUCCAGUUUACCAUGUUCUCUUAAAAUUAUCCUAACGUGGUUUAUGUUAUAUUGUAAUUUGAUCAAGUUUUCUCUGUAUGAUGAAGAAAUCAUAGGCUAUGGAUGAACUCCAAUGAAGCCUGUUUCUGUCAUAGUUACACUGACAGAGAAUUGUUGAUUUUCUAUUCCAUUGUGUUAUUUUAUCUUCUUGUUGAAUGUUAUCAUGCACUGUCGUCAAAUACUUGUUUGCCUUAUAAAUUAAUUUUUAUUCUGAUGAAUUUUGCAAAAACUAUAAAUUUGAUUUUUCUUUCCAAAUCCGCUGUACAACUAUCUUGUUAUGAUCCAUAAUAACAUUGGAUUGUGAAUUUAUGAACUGAUCUCUACAUGAUGAAGAAAUCAUAGGCUAUGGUUUAACUCCAAUGAUGCCUCUUUUUGUCAUAGUUACACUGAUAGAGAGAAUCGUUCGUUCUCUAUUCUAUAUAUGCCUGAUUGAUGGCCACUAUUUACAUUUUGAAUGUCUAGUCCACUGGGAAAUAGUAUGUACCAUGAGGGUUGUUUCAUUUUUACGUGUAAUAUGACUUUUUCUCAAGUUUUUGGGGGCAUUUUUGGUUGUUGACUAUGAUUAUAUAUUAAAGGUUUGCGGUAUCCUUUACCUCAUAAUCUCUUCAUAUACUUCUAACAGUACUGUAAUUGUCUCUUUAUUUAGAUUCAUGACUGUAUAUGUGGAAUUUAACAUUUGUAGCAAAUUAAUUAUAACAAAAGCAACUUUGCCGAGGCAAUCAGUACCAUAUUGGUUUCCUCUUUUCCCUGUUGCUGAUACUAGAAUUGGCUAAAUUUUUUUCAUGGCUGUACUGAUGUAUUCAGUCCGUGCGCUUGUCUAGUAUAGCCAACAUACUAUGUACUAAAUUCAUUACUUAGUACUUGUUCUUUACUUGUAUGUAUUCCAUAUACGUAACAUGUUACUGCUAUAUGCCUCUCUUUUUAGACUUGACAAUCUUUGCUUACAUUCUGAUAUUUGUAUAAAGUUUUUAAGGUUAUAUUAAAGGCAACUUUGCUGAGGUGAUCGGUUCCAUAUUGGUUUCUUCUUUUCCCUGUUUCUGAUACUAGAAUUGGCUGAAAAUUGUUUCAUGGUUGUGCUGAUCUAUACCGUCAGUGCACUUGUUUAUUAUAAGCCAACAUACAUUACUUAUUCUUUACUUGUCUGAUCAUCCCUUAAUAUAUUUUCUGAUGAUGUUACUGUAGUUUGCUUCGCUUUUUAGCCUUUCCAGUCUAUGCUCUGAUUUUGAUAUUUGUAUCAAAUGUGUAUAAUUAAGGCAACUUUGCCGAGGUGAUCAUUACCAUAUUGGUUUCCUCUUUUCCCUGUUGCUGAUACUAGAAUUGGCUGAAAAUAGUUUUAUAGUUGUGCUGAUUUAUAUAGUCAGCACACUUUGUAGCCAACAUAAU